rnacentral:rRNA from 1 species
AAGCCUGAUUCAGCCAUGCCGCGUGUGUGAAGAAGGUCUUCGGAUUGUAAAGCACUUUAAGUUGGGAGGAAGGGUUGUAGAUUAAUACUCUGCAAUUUUGACGUUACCGACAGAAUAAGCACCGGCUAACUUCGUGCCAGCAGCCGCGGUAAUACGAAGGGGGCUAGCGUUGUUCGGAAUCACUGGGCGUAAAGCGCACGUAGGCGGACUUUUAAGUCAGGGGUGAAAUCCCGGGGCUCAACCUCGGAACUGCCUUUGAUAAUGGAAGUCUGGAGUCCGAGAGAGGUGAGUGGAACUCCGAGUGUAGAGGUGAAAUUCGUAGAUAUUCGGAAGAACACCAGUGGCGAAGGCGGCUCACUGGCUCGGUACUGACGCUGAGGUGCGAAAGCGUGGGGAGCAAACA